rnacentral:rRNA from 1 species
UACGUAGGGGGCAAGCGUUGUCCGGGAAUCAUUGGGCGUAAAGCGCGCGUAGGCGGCCCGGUAAGUCCGUUGUGAAAGUCAAAAGGCUCAACCUUUGAACGCCGAUGGAUACUGCCGGGCUAGAGUCCGGAAGAGGCGAGUGGAAUUCCUGGUGUAGCGGUGAAAAUGCGUAGAUAUCUGGAGGAAUACCGGUGGCGAAGGCGGCAUCCUGGACCGGCAUUGACGCUGAGGCGCGAAAGCUAGGGGAGCAAACGGG